AUUAAUGAUAUCACAAGAGAGGCCAUUUCACCUUGGGAUUGUCUAAAUUGAGGAAGAUAUUGACCCUCCAUGGUGCCAAAAAUGGUUGAUGCUUUAAUAACCUCUUGGCUGCACUACUGUAAUGCUUUACUAUCUGGAUGCACUCAACUGACCUUGAAAAGUCAGCUGCUAAGGUAUAUACAAGAGCCAAGAAAGGUUCACAGAUCAUUCCAACCCUGGCAUUCUCCUGGUUCAAGCCCCAUGCCAUGAUGCAACCUGCAGACUGAGGUGCAUCACCUAACCCUUCCUGACUGGCAUAUGAAUAUAAUCUUUUUGCAUGGACUAUUUUACCAGCUAAUUUAAUACCUAACCUCAGGUUGUAAUCUGCCUAGUCACUUUGUAUGUUUAUGCUGAAAGAUUCCCAUUACCUCAGUAUUUGCAUUUAACUACACACAGUGGGCUAGCCAGCGGAGGAUGGGCUCCCCCUCAAUAUUUGGUUUCCCCCUUAGUUUUCCUUCAGCCUCGGCCUUGCCUAAUUUAUCCUAUUUCUCAUCAUUUUGUAAAGUGUUUUAAGACAGUGUCGCUUUAAAAAAAAACAAAAAAAACACUAUAAAUAAAACAGAAUUGUAGGUACUGAUAUUACGUGCAAUGCAGGAUCAUAUCUGAGACAUUUCUGUUGUUGUUAAAUUUCUCAAAUUUUAUUUUAGCAAGUUAACAUUGACCCACAUUGUCUGGUUCCUGUUAAGAAAACAUUAUGAUAUUUUUUCCCCUGA